ensembl:lncRNA
GACACAAAGAGCAGUACACGUGGGGUUCUGCCAGAGUGUCAGGGAAGAGGAAUAAACAACCACUGAAAGCAAACAGCCUCAUUCUUCACGCACACUUGCCGGGCAGAGCGUGCCAGGUGCCAGAGCAGAAGCUGUGUGAGUGCAACAGGUGAGCACGGCUGCUCUUCCUUUUUGCUAUGGCCGGGUCACAGCUUGCUUGGCAAACGUGUGAGGUGGGAGACACAAAGUGUCUCACUGCAGCACGGUGUCAGGAUGAUUGAGAACUGCAAAAAUAAUGACAAGCUGAGCAGAAUGGAGUUUUCCUUGGCUGGGGUACCUCCCUUGCUUGGAGGUGGCAUUGUAACACCGCAGUGGAACAGUUCUUGCCUUACAGUGAAGGUUUGAAUAUCUGAACAGAACUGGAAAGAGCUGGGAGCUUGCAGAUCCUGGUAUGUUGGGUGGGACAAAGAAGAGGUGAGAAUGACCACAAAACCAUAGCCUCGACUGGGGAGGAGACGGGAGAGCCUACGCUACAAAGCGGUAACAGAGGCAGGAGAAACUGGUUAGGGCGUGGAGCUUGAUGCUGCAGUCCAGGCACUGCCCAAGGAUUGUGUUGGACCAUGGGCAAGCCAUCGUGCUUUCUGUCUCAGCUGAGAAGUCGCUUUUCCAAAGAUGACGGCCCCCAGAGUGCAGCUUUGUGCUGAGCCCAAUGAAAUGCCACCGUGGAUGAACUCAGUGCACACAGUGAUCUUGAACUGUGAGCCUCUGUGAGAGCCAAAACCUUGCUGGUGGUUAUUUGGAAGGCUCUCAGCUCCUCUCUUGUGCUCGCUGUCUCCUUCUUCAGCCCUCACGUGCUCAGGAAGCCUGCCGUGGUGCGACCAUCUAAGUUAGGCCAGUCUCUUCAGAGGGCAUCUGUAAUCCACUGAGUUAAUCCCCCUGCAAGGAGAAGGGGACUGGUAGGCAGUGCUUGCAAAUCCACACCCCACACACAAAGCUCAUUAUAAAACUGCCCUGCCGUUGUGCCUGCUGGCUCCUGUUCCCAAGGAACUGCCGUGGUUUCAGAUUGUUCUGCUGUGCUGUGAGGAUUUUUGGGGCUGGUUCCCACAGAGACUUCCUCAGGAGAUCCAUAUUGCCCAGAAAAAGCUGCUAGAGAAGCACCAGAUUACCAGCACACUCAGCACUCUGCACUGCAAGGAGGGCAGACUGUAUUCACGCCCACACCUUCUGGGAAGCUGUUCCACACUGGGAAAUGCAGCUGCGUUAUUUCCUCUCUCCUCCUCAGAAAGGACCGUGGGGGUUGAAAUGUGUUGAGCUCGAUGGUGCAUUAUGAACCAUGCCGUUCAAUGUCAGAGUCAAAAAUCCACUGUCCUGCAGCCUGCACAGUGUUAGCACUGAGAAGAGAAGACACUGAGUGGAAUCAGCCAGGAGAGACAACGCGGAUGGACAUGUGUGAUGAUCUCACCCCUUAUUUGAUGGAAAACCCCCAUAAGUGUGGGAAAGAGGUACUGUGAAUUUUUGUGAGAUGACAGCCUCUGCUUUCGCCAGUCAGUUUGCUCUUGGAAUGUCUGCAGCCACAACACAUGGGGAGAACGUGGCUCACCUUACUGUGACAAGGACCUUACCUCCUUGUGCCCAAACAUAACAAACAGCAACAGCCACAUCUUUCACAGAUGCCCUGAGGGCAUCCCUGGAAGGCACUGCAAUUGUGGCCACUUCCCAAGGCACCACAGAGCCUACGAUCAUACCUCCUGGUUCUUGAGAGUCCUCCUCUCACACAGUGUUGCUGUCACUUCAGCUGGCAGAGGGGUGGGCAGCACAAGGAUGCCUGCUGAGCUGCACACUGACUUGCUGGGUACCAGAGCUGCUUCAGAGUACCCUUCGGUACUGUUACAAAGGCCUUGGUUCACCUGUUGUCCUCAAUUGUCUUGUAAACCUAUUUCAGGGGCUUAAUCUUAGUCCUGUGUUGUUCCAGGCCCCACUGUGUCUGUGCACUGCGUAACUGGAUUUACUGUAGCACAGGAGAGGCUUGACUCAACUUUUUCUCCCUGAACUCUGGAAAGAAGAACCACCCUUGCAGUUUCUUUCUAAGGGACUUCCCUAAAUCCAUAAAGGCCAGAAACUGAACAAAUGAAUAAAGAAACAAAGGAACACCACAAAGAUGAUCCCAGGAAAACAAACACAGAAAUAUUAUUUUGAGUCAUUGAAUAUGUUCUAAUUUAGUCAAGCAAAAGAAGAAAUUAUUUUCAUUUUUAAAUAUCAACUUGAUAAGUUCAAAUAAUAAUAUAAAAAAAAGUUGCUUAAUUCUAUCCAGCUACCAUAAAAAAAAUACUUUGAUAUUCUGUUGAAUUUGACUUUUGUAAUUUUGAAGAAACAGUGUUUUCCAGUGGAGAUGGCCAG